rnacentral:rRNA from 1 species
UACGGAGGGGGCUAGCGUUGUUCGGAAUUACUGGGCGUAAAGGGCGUGUAGGCGGCCUGCCAAGUCAGAUGUGAAAGCCCCGGGCUUAACCUGGGAACUGCAUUUGAGACUGGCCGGCUCGAGGUUGGAAGAGGAGAGUGGAAUUCCCAGUGUAGAGGUGAAAUUCGUAGAUAUUGGGAAGAACACCGGUGGCGAAGGCGGCUCUCUGGUCCACACCUGACGCUGAGGAGCGAAAGCGUGGGGAGCAAACAGG